GAUGAACGCUAGCGGCAGGCUUAACACAUGCAAGUCGAGGGGUAUUGGUUUUCGGACCAAGAGACCGGCGCACGGGUGCGUAACGCGUAUGCAAUCUACCUUUUGCAGAGGGAUAGCCCAGAGAAAUUUGGAUUAAUACCUCAUAGUAUAGUACUUUGGCAUCAAGGAACUAUUAAAGUCACAACGGCAAAAGAUGAGCAUGCGUCCCAUUAGCUAGUUGGUAAGGUAACGGCUUACCAAGGCUACGAUGGGUAGGGGUCCUGAGAGGGAGAUCCCCCANACUGGUACUGAGACACGGACCAGACUCCUACGGGAGGCAGCAGUGAGGAAUAUUGGACAAUGGGCGCAAGCCUGAUCCAGCCAUGCCGCGUGCAGGAUGACGGUCCUAUGGAUUGUAAACUGCUUUUUGUACAGGAAGAAACACUCCCUCGUGAGGGAGCUUGACGGUACUGUAAGAAUAAGGAUCGGCUAAACUCCGUGCCAGCAGCCGACGG
rnacentral:rRNA from 1 species